UUUUUCAAUUGUAAAAUUUGUGCUAACCUGAAUGAAUAAUAAAUAGUUUUUUUUUUUCUUCCGAGUGUCUUAUUUUGAAAGACAACCUUUUCCGCCCAGGCCCAAUAUCCGCACUUGACUCGUCUUUUUUUUUUUUUUUUUUGCAUUAGCAAAUCUAAAAUAGCCCUCGUAAAAUGAACCACAAACAAUUAUGAACACAUUCACUGAUGAGUUUCUUUGGAAUGGGUAAGCGAGACAACGAUGUGGCAACAGAGGUGUCACAGGUUGCCUGCAAAAAGAAAGGCGAAUUUAAAGGAAAGCACCAAAACUUCGCAACGAGUGAUUGACAAGCACCAAACCCACUCUGUGUAUGAUGACAGACUUUCUAACGAAGCCAUGGAAGCGUCAAAACUGAACAAUUCAACUCACCAUUGCGCAUAAAGCCAUGCGUAACUCGGCAGAAAUGCCAGUGAAUUCCUCUGACCGUAGGGAAACCUCAUGGUGUGUAAAUGUUCAGCCAGUGAUAACGGGCCAAAGUCCGGCUUGCUCUAACAAGAUGACCAGAUCAGCAUGUCGGAAGGAGACAACGAGAGCUGUGUGGAGGCGCAGCAGAGAUGACGCUGACGCUUCCUCGCUGUUCUUCCGUCCACCCACUACUUGAUGAGAGAAAAGAAAAAAAAAGAGAUGGCGCACGGCGAGACAGUCUGUCAUUACCCUGGCGUGAGCUGCCUCAUUUUUCCACGAGUUUCAUCAGCUCCAUAAAACAGUAGAAAUGGCCUGGAGAGAAAAAAAGGUCCAGCGAGAGGCACCGAAAGUGGGCAGAUUGGAGUGGGAGUGGGCCCGUGGAAUUGAGGUCCAGAGACGGGCAGCCGGAGAAGAGAAACGCAUCAAGGCGAACCCACAAGAAAAGACCGAAGCGAAGGAGAAAAGUCUCGUCGAGGACUUUGAACAGAAAACUGAGAGGGUGAAGAGGGAGAUGGAAGUAUGAUAUCAAGAAACGUGUCAAGGGAAAGGGAGACGACUGAGAAUCGAGCUUGGAAACUUGCAGACUGAGAGUUUCAGGAAGCAGCGUGCUGAAGAAAAAAAAAAAAAAACUUCUACGUGACGCACUUCAAAAGGCCGACAGCAACUUAGACAAGCUGAGAAAAUACCUCAGACAGCAGGAAGACAGUGCUGAGAGAUGAGUCGAAGCAUUCCGGCAUGGAGUUUCAGAAGAUAAGAGAAGGAGCAUCUAACCUCGCCGCUGACGGGUGCCCAGACUUUUUUACCCCAAGAUCUACUUUUCAAGCAGCCAGCCUCUCGCCAGCUACCGAAGGGGGGGAUGAUAAUGAUGCUCCCAAACCGUUUUAAGGGACAAGAAAAAAGCGCUGCUGCAGAAAAAAAGAGUCCGAGAGGGAGUACGGAGAAGAGCUGAUCAGGAGAUCGUGGCCUCUACGAAGUGCCAGUGAGAAGCGAGUCCGCUAUGAGGAGCGCGCAACAGAUGGAAGCACUUCUUUCGUUGGCGUGGAGUCACGUUUCUCACACUCGGCUGUGCACAGAUGCGCGGACGUCGAUAAGCGGAGAGCGACGCGCCGCGAUGCAGGGAGACACACUUCGACCCGCAUGUGCUCAUCAGUGACUUAGAACGUGUUGACGUCGGAUGCAAAAAGAACUUCCGCCUUUGCAGCUGGGCAGUCGGAUGCUGUAAUAAAAUAGCGUGCACCAAGCACCUGUUCAAUGCGGAUGCCUUCGCAAUGCCGGAUGCUGGAUUUGUUUUUCGGAACAUCCAGAGAAAUCCCUUUUACGGCCGCAACGAGUCAACGAAUGAUGUGUUGUAACGGUUCAUGUUAUGGAGCGAGCAAACGCACACAAACACAGUCUUGCAGCAGUUUGCUUCAUGAACAAAAGCAGUCCAAUCCUCAGUCGCGAGGAUUUUUUUGAACUGCAAAACCCCUCCGGUCUCAGGAUUCAUCACACGGAAACAAGAGUGUGAUUAUCUCAGUUAUGACCAGAGGGACGUGUUGACAGAGUCUUGUGGAAGAGCCGAGACCAGGCCUGAGCAGGACCACAGACAGCAGCUGUCAUAUUGGAGCCUAGAACACAGUUGACGAAGUGUCUACGAUGGAUUAAGGCUUGCGGAAGAGCGCACGUACAACUAAGUGUGGACAAGAUCAACAAACACAAGGCUGUAUGUUCGAAGUUAACUGUGGCCCUGGAAAAGGAGAAAGCCCGGAAUGCGCUGCAGGAGGGGAGAGAGUCGCUUCACAAAGAGUCAGAACUCGAGGUGACGAUCCACAGGAAGAAGAGCCAGCUGCUGCUGACAACAAACCACCUCAGCACAAGCUCGACGGGAAAGAAAGGGAGCUGCCAGAACUGCGGGAGGAGAAAAAGACAAGUGAGGAAAAAGAGAAGGACAACCGGCGGAGGACAGGAGGAGGCUGGAGGAGGCGACUCCUCAAGAGCUGCAGAUUUCCAAACAGCAGGUGGCACUGCAGCUGAGUCGGGCUCAUAAAGACUUGCAGCAGAUGGCGGGGAGAAAUACUGAACUACUUAAAGAGGAGCCCUUAAUGAUGGCUGUCUCUCCGUGCACAAGAUCACACACACACAAAACACACGGCCGGAUGUUUCGGCACACGGGGCAGGAAGGAACUUCGCGCCCCGGAGCCAAAUGCAAGUGCGCGACACGACGCAAGUGCAUCGGUGCAAAAGCUCCACACGAUGGCGGUAAGCGUGACGGGUUGCGCGCGGCUUUUUUAGCGCACGAAGUGCACACGGUGACGCGUGCACAUAUGCGGAGAAUUACUGGCCGAUUAAAUAAAACCACGCGGAAAGAGUGCACGCUCAUGCGCUGUGUAGUGUUGCACUGCAUCAUUGGGAUCCCCCUCAAAGCGAGGAGCAGAUGUUGACUUAUGGACAAGGUUGUAUGCUCUCUGCAGACUAACACACACAAACGAGUACGCCGUUGCCACACUGUAUCAUGUGUGAUCUGUGAAUUCUCAUGAUGACAAAUUUUGCACAAACACGGCAUACAAAUGAUCUAAAAUGGUAAUCCGCAGUUCACGGGGAACUCAAAAUCAAUCAAUAAAGUUCAUACAGCGCUGCAUGCAACAAAGUACAUUACUCAAGCACCAAAGCAAAGCAAAUUUAUUUGUAUAGCUCAUUUCAUACACGAGGUAACUCAAUGUGUUUUACCAGAUUAAAGGCACCUGAAAUCAAAGAGACAAAACCUUUAAAAUGGCAUAAAAACAAUAAAAUUGACCAACAAAAUAUUUCAAAAAAGACAAUUAAAACCGCAUACAGUGCAAGUAAUAUGAUCAAAAAGUGGAUAUAUACUAAAAAGCAUGAGAGAAAAGAAGAGUUUUCAACCUGGAUUUAAAAACAUUCACAUACCUCUGUUGGCAACUUAUCCCAUUUGUGUGCUGCAUGAACCGACGAUAUUGACUAAAUCAGGGGUGUCUGGACUUUUUUUUACCCCAAGAUCUACUUCUCAGGCGUCCAGCCUCUCGGGAUUGACA